rnacentral:rRNA from 1 species
UACGUAGGGUGCAAGCGUUAAUCGGAAUUACUGGGCGUAAAGCGUGCGCAGGCGGUUAUGUAAGACAGGUGUGAAAUCCCCGGGCUUAACCUGGGAACCGCAUUUGUGACUGCAUAGCUGGAGUACGGCAGAGGGGGAUGGAAUUCCGCGUGUAGCAGUGAAAUGCGUAGAUAUGCGGAGGAACACCGAUGGCGAAGGCAGUCCCCUGGGCCUGUACUGACGCUCAUGCACGAAAGCGUGGGGAGCAAACAGG